CAGCUUCUCUACUACAACUAUCUUCU
rnacentral:piRNA from 1 species